rnacentral:rRNA from 1 species
UGGGGGAUAUUGCACAAUGGGCGAAAGCCUGAUGCAGCGACGCCGCGUGGGGGAUGAAGGCUUUCGGGUUGUAAACCUCUUUCGCUAUCGAACAAGGCCCGCUUAGGGUGGGUUGAGGGUAGGUGGAGAAGAAGCGCCGGCUAACUACGUGCCAGCAGCCGCGGUAAUACGUAGGGCGCGAGCGUUGUCCGGAAUUAUUGGGCGUAAAGGGCUUGUAGGCGGCUUGUUGCGCCUGCUGUGAAAACGCGGGGCUUAACUUCGCGCGUGCAGUGGGUACGGGCAGGCUUGAGUGUGGUAGGGGUGACUGGAAGUCCAGGUGUAGCGGUGGAAUGCGCAGAUAUCUGGAGGAACACCAAUGGCGAAGGCAGGGCACUGGGCCAUUACUGACGCUGAGGAGCGAAAGCAUGGGUAGCGAACAGG